GAGUUUGAUCCUGGCUCAGGAUGAACGCUGGCGGCGUGCUUAACACAUGCAAGUCGAACGGAGCACCCCUGACGGAGUUUUCGGACAACUGAUGGGAAUGCUUAGUGGCGGACGGGUGAGUAACGCGUGAGGAACCUGCCUCGGAGUGGGGAAUAACAAUCCGAAAGGAUUGCUAAUACCGCAUGAUACAGUUGGGUCGCAUGACUCUGACUGUCAAAGAUUUAUCGCUCUGAGAUGGCCUCGCGUCUGAUUAGCUAGUAGGCGGGGUAACGGCCCACCUAGGCGACGAUCAGUAGCCGGACUGAGAGGUUGACCGGCCACAUUGGGACUGAGACACGGCCCAGACUCCUACGGGAGGCAGCAGUGGGGAAUAUUGGGCAAUGGGCGCAAGCCUGACCCAGCAACGCCGCGUGAAGGAAGAAGGCUUUCGGGUUGUAAACUCCUGUCGUUAGGGACGAUAAUGACGGUACCUAACAAGAAAGCACCGGCUAACUACGUGCCAGCCGCCGCGGUAAUUC
rnacentral:rRNA from 1 species